rnacentral:rRNA from 1 species
AUUAUUAUUUAUUUAUUUAUAUAUAUAUAUAUAUAUAUAUUAAAAAUAAUUAUAAUUAAUUAAUUUUUUAGUAAUUUAUAAUGAAUAAAUAAUUUUUAUAAUAAUGAAGAAGUAUUGAAAGAUAAUAUUGAAAUAAUUGAAAAAUUUAUAUUUUAAAAGAAAUUUUAAUUUAAUGUAUCUUGUGUAUCAGAGUUUAUUAAAUAAGAAUUAAAAUUUUAAUUAUCUCGAUUUUAUAAGAGUUAAUAAAUUAUUAAAUUUUAUGUAUUAAAAUAAUUUUUUAUAAUUUAUUGGAAAUGAAAAGUUAUUCGUUUAUAAAGGUAUCUAGUUUUUUAAGAAAUAAAUUUAAUUUAGAAAUUUAAAAUUUAUAUAAUUUUUUAAAAAUUAUAUAAUUUUUAAUUUUUAGUAUUUUAAGGGAUUAGCUUUAAAAUAAAUUUUUAUAAUUAAAUUAAUAAAGUAAUAAAUUUAUAUAUUUAAAAUUAAUAAUUAUUAAUAAAAUUGUUAUAAAUUAUUUAUUUAUAUUAAUAAUUUAAUUUAAUUUAAGUUUUUAUUAAAAAGUUAAUUAAAAUUAAAAAAAUUAAGUAAUAAUGAUAAAAUUAGUAUAUAAUUUUUAUAUAAAAUAAUAAAAAUGAAAAGUUUUUUUAAAGAAUUCGGCAAACAAUAUAUUCGCUUGUUUAACAAAAACAUGUCUUUUUGAAAUUUAUUUAAAGUCUAAUCUGCCCACUGAAUAUUAAAUGGCCGCAGUAUAUUAACUGUGCAAAGGUAGCAUAAUCAUUAGUCUUUUAAUUGAAGGCUUGUAUGAAUGAUUGGACGAAAUAUAAACUGUUUUAAUUUAAAAUUUUAUAGAAUUUUAUAUUUGAGUGAAAAAGCUUAAAUAUAUUUAAAAGACGAGAAGACCCUAUAAAUCUUUAUAAUUUUUAUUAAUCUUUUAUUAUAGAAAUAAUUUAAUAAUAAUAAUAAAAAUUAUUAUAUUGGGGUGAUAUUAAAAUUUAAUAAACUUUUAUUUUUUUUUAUUAACAUUAAUUAAUGAAUUUUUGAUCCAAUAUUAUUGAUUAUAAAUUUAAGUUACUUUAGGGAUAACAGCGUAAUAUUUUUGGAGAGUUCUUAUUAAUAAAAAUGAUUGCGACCUCGAUGUUGAAUUAAGAUAUAAAUUUAGGUGCAGAAGUUUAAAUUUUAAGUCUGUUCGACUUUUAAAAUCUUACAUGAUUUGAGUUCAAACCGGUGUAAGCCAGGUUGGUUUCUAUCUUUAAAAAAUUAAAAUAUUUUAGUACGAAAGGAUUAAAUAUUUGAAUUAUUAAAUUUUAUAAUAAUGAAUUUAAUUAAUU